rnacentral:lncRNA from 1 species
CUGAGAAAGCUCUUCCUUGCCUCUUAGUUCUCGAAAGGCCUUUGAGACGCUGGCGAGGGUCCAGCAUUGGGAGUACUGAAAUCUCCGCGAGGAAGGCGCCGCGGUGUUUCCGAGCAGCCCGGGGCUGGGGGGUGUCGGUGGGGAACGUGGGCUGGGAGGAGCUCCUGGGACAGCCUCGCCGCCCCUCGGGAACCACCUCUCCCCUGCGCCGGCCGCCUUAGGGUUUUCCCUUCCUCACGGGAGCCUGGCCUUCGGUCCCCUGUAAGGCAGCUGCCACUACCAUGAGCCAACCUUGCUGCUUUUGGUUUGUGCUUACCUGCCAUAUGCUGUUAUGGGCAGAGUGCUUUAGAAAUCUCGUUCAACCCUGCCAGGUUCUCUUUCUCCCUUCAGGGUCAAGCUCAUCUUUGGGGCCCUACUUAGCAAUGAGAACGGAGGCCUUGCGUUCCUGUCCGUCAGUGGUAGCUGUGGCAUCUCCUGUUUGGAUCUCCCCACGCUCCUAGCACCUCAGUCCUUUCUUCGGCCUGCCU